GACAGAGGAGCCAAGCGUUGUCCGGAUUGACUGGGCGUAAAGCGCACGCAGGCGGUCGCGCGCGUGGGGUGUGAAAUCUGGCCGCUUAACGGCCAGGCGCCAUCCCAUACGGCGCGACUGGAGUGAUGCAGAGGUCGAUGGAAUUGCCGGUGUAGUGGUGAAAUGCGUAGAGAUCGGCAGGAACACCCAGGGGGGAAACCAGUCGACUGGGCAUCUACUGACGCUGAGGUGCGAAGGCUAGGGGAGCAAACAGG
rnacentral:rRNA from 1 species